CGGACGGGUGAGUAACGCGUGAGAAUCUACCUUCAGGAUGGAGACAACAGUUGGAAACGACUGCUAACCCCCGAUGUACUGAAAAGGCAAAUAUUUAUAGCCUGAAGAAGAGCUCGCGUCCGAUUAGCUAGUUGGAGAGGUAAAAGCUCACCAAGGCGACGAUCGGUAGCUGGUCUGAGAGGACGAUCAGCCACACUGGGACUGAGACACGGCCCAG
rnacentral:rRNA from 1 species